UUCCUGCAGCUGAAACCCAGGCCCACUCGGCGGGCACCCGUGCCUCUCCCCUGCCCUCAACCCAGCUCAUGCUCUUUGCUCUAACUCCGCAAUCUCUUGUCUCAGCAGGGAGCGGUGGAAGGCAAGAAAUUGCUGUAGGCACAUUUGAUCUGUGACAAAACUGCUGCCGGGUGUGAUGAAAAACGAGUUUGAACGGCUCGGAGAAGGACGUAGAGACUGCGUGCCGCGAUCUUACAGGCUGCCCGGGCUUCGCAGUUGCUCGGCCAGUGUGAGGAUUGGGGAGGCCUUUGGAGGAAGAAUGUGCUCAGGAUUCCAGGCCCGUCCCUUACACAGCACAAAGCUGAGGUAAACCUCACCUGGCCCCUUGCACUGCUCCCACAGCUCCCUGAGACAAGAGUUUGUGUCCUCUGUGUUAUUCUUCGUGCCUUACACCCAUCUCCUCCAGUACGGCCACUCUGUGAGCUCAGGGAGGAGUGGGGCUUCUCCUGUCCUCCAUCCUCCUCCCCGCAAGCCUCCUGCCUAGCUUUGCCUGCAGUGAAGAAUGAAUCCACGCUCCACAGAAGCGGCCUUGUACGACUUCCUUUUUGUAGCCAGGGUACCUGCAGCCUGAACAAAGGAAGCCCUUCGCUCCAGGUCAUCGGACAAUCCUGUGGUCACUGCCAGAGCCAUAGGCUACCCACCCAGCUCUCCUACCUCCUGCUCUAGCCAUGACUGGGCAACAGAACUACUCCACUCGUUCAUCGACUGAGUGAGCACCCAGGUUGACACUAAACUGAAUUUCCCAAACCUCAGCCCCUCAAAGAACCUCCUAACUCUUUUUUUGUUUUGUUUUUUGGUUUUUUUUUUUUUUUUUUUUUUUUUCUUUUUCAUUUUUAUCAGUACCAGGGAUCAAACUCACAACCGCACACUUGCAAGGCAGGCGCUUAUGCCGCUGAGCUAAAUCCCCAGCCCCAGAACCUCCUAACUCUUAGCAUAUCUUCAUUAUUUCUUUAAUGUUGUCUUUAAUCCAACUCACUUGCUUUAUUUAAAUAAAACACUGCAGGUAAUAACACCUCUGACAGUGCAGGUUUAAUAUACUAUUUUUUUCUACUGCACAUAAAAACAAAAUAUGUAACUUGUCAUAUAAAAGGUGGUCCUUGGUUUACCAUCUAAAUCAGCUCAGACACUGUGUGUCGGUACAAAGAUACUGUACUCUUUCGGCCAGAUGAAGUGAUUGCAUACAUCUCUAGGCUCAGGACUUGCUGCUGGAAAAAGGGAAUGAGCAUGGCUUCUCCACUUGCACGGCGGCGUAAUGAACACUUCUGAGGGGUGUGGACAGUUCAAAGGGCUUCCAGAUGAAGGAAGGGGGUCCGAGAAGUUCCAGUGACAAAGCCAAGGUCAUGCAGCUACUGAGAGCAGACACCAAAGAAGUCACUGCUGGUGGCCUGGAUGAACGAUGUUCCAACAGAUCCAUUUUGGGUUUUUCUUGUGUUUUGAGGUGAGGUCCCGCUACAUCGCACAGCUCAUGUCUAAUCCCUGGCCCAAGUGAUCCUGCUCCUCAGCCUCACAUGUACCUGGAGCUGCAAGUGUUGCCACCACACCUGACUCCCAAAGGAUUGUUCCAUUUUCGGCACACCUGUCAUCCUGGAGUGUAGACAGUGCAUCCUCCCUGUUACUUUCUAUUUAACUACUCCCUAAUUUACUAGCUUUUCCCAUCCUUUGUGUCCCCUACCUCAGCAUGUGCUGUGCACCAGGAUAGCUGGCAAAAGGAAUCAGGAUGCUGAGUGCCUUCCUUAGCGAAACUCGGAUGCGAGGUGGACACUUGAGGGGGACACCCGAGGACAUUCAGGCAUUCACACACCUGCUGUGUGCCAGACACCACACUGCAUGGAGAUUGUGACCCAGACAACUCUCCCUGAUGUGGCGGAGCUGACAAGAGCUGGGAGGGACAGGAACAAUAGGCCGAUGUCACUAAGAGAUUCCUUCUCACUGCCCCAUCGCCUCCACAUUGCAGCCGGGAAGAUUCUUCUCCAGAUGUAAAUCUGACUGACUCACACCUCAUUUCAGAGCCUUCAGUAACUUCCCACAAGCUUCUGCAUGCCUGACAUACUGGAGAGUUUUUUGUAUGUUAUUGAAAAUAUUAAUACUAACCAGGGGACCCACUAGUGAGGGAAAGUUUGACAGUUCUGGAACCUCCUUCUUAGGGCCUAAAUGUCUUGAAAUAUGCAGAUACUAAAGUCACUGAGCUGAGACUUGGGGAGAGGAAUGGAGUAAGAGAUGGAGUACAGGGUGGAAAUAUAAAAGAGCGUGCACCCACUUCUAGUGAAGACAGAAAUUACAUGGAGGCCUUUAAGAGGGUCCUAAGUUUACAUUAGGAUUUGCAAAUUCAAGUGUAUCUAUGAACCAGGAAGGUAACAUAAGUAAAUCAGACAAAUACAGGACCGGACUGUUAGUGCCAUCAGAUGAGGCCAGCUACUACUAGCUCUAACAGCUUGUGGGCUGAUAGGAAAGAGGAUCCAACAUCGCUGAAGUGGCUGAUUUUCAAUGACUGUGGACUUCUACAGAAAUUCUCCAAAUUAGAAAAAGUUGACACCCAAUUGAAACUUUAGAAAGGAAAACUAUGGAUGUGAGUUUAGGGCUGGGAACACAAGUCCUCUGGCGCAAAGCAUUCCUUCCAGCCGCAGAGCUGUGUGAAGGAAAGACAAAGGCGGAGAGGGCCCUGAUGGUGCAGCCAGGGCACCAAGGGCUGUCCAGAGGCCAGGAGGCCUGUCUGUGGCCACGGAGAGGGCAAGUGCCAAUUUGAAAGGAUAGAUGGGUGUGGCAAGGUCUCCUUUCCACCUUUCCAAGGUCAGGAUCUGCAAGGCUAUCCCUUCUUGGAGUGACUCGGAUAGUGAAGGUGGGGACGAGGGCCUUCAGGGAGCAGCAGUCUGCAGCCUCAAGCAUCCCCAAAGCCUGAAAGAAAGCUAUAAGCAGACCAGACUGCCUGCUGGGCUCCGCCACAUCCUAACACACUCACUUCUGGUGGUUCCUUCUCGGCUGCCCUCCUGGGGCUCCCAUUUUCGUGACUCUGAGUUUGUGACCCUUUGCAGACUCAGCUUGGCCCCCUCCUCACACACUGUGGUAGCUGACUGGCUUUCCUCCACAGCACCAUGGUGGUCGCAGGUGCUGAUCCACCGUGAGGGUCUGACCCUGGCAGCCUAGGUUUCAUCUUGCAGGUCCUCUGGUUCCCAAAGGGUGUGAGACAGAAAUAAUGCCAUGUGUUAAAGGACAAAAUUCCAACGCAUCACAUUUAAAGAUCAAAUUGGUUUUUGUCAGUGAUCCAUGAAUUCAGUGACAUCCCACCAAUUUUUAAAAAAAGAGCUAGAGAGGUAUGACAGCGGUAUAGCUCAUAGGUCCUGUGCUUCAUCGUAGUACUGAAGAAGAAAAAAACAACGUGUGUCUAAAAACUGAGCAGAGAAAGCUUGCUUUAUAAGCCACAAGGGGCUAAAGAAAGCGUAACUAAGGGACAAGCAGCAGACUGGCCGUUUCAAAGUGACUUUCCUUACAAGGUUAAGACGAAAGGGAGCUACCUUAUCAUACUAGCUAGGCACACUGGACUCUUUUCAACUGGUUGCUGCAAAUCUCCUGUUUUGAGGGAAAACCGGCUCAUUUUAAAGUUCAGUAUGAUCACAUAGCACCUAGCAACUUCUGGUCUGAUCUGUUGGGGCCCAGUGCAGGGGUUCAGUUCAAAACAAGGCCUCUCAUAAAUUUUGUUUAACACACGAAGAGAUGAUCUGGUGGACUUGAGCAAUCAAGCCAACACAAGAAGCAACCAAAGAUGGUACCAGCUUCCACAUCUGCCCCUCACUGUGUGCCAGGUACUCUGCUGUGCUUUAGUCAUGAGCUCUAGAAUGGGCUAGAAUUCUCACAGCGAUCCGUUAUCAUUAGGAGCCUUUAUCAUACUUAGUUUUAUGUUUGUUUAUUUGUUUUGAGACAGGGUAUCAUCAUGUAGUGCAGGCUGGUCUUGAACUCAUUUAUGUAACCCAGGUUGGCCUUGAACUCACAGUGAUCCUCCUGGCUCAGACUCCUGAGUACUGGUAUUACAGGCAUAAACCAUCACAUCUGGCUAUCAUACCCAUUUUAAAGAGAAGGAAUUGAGGCAGAGAGAAAGAGGCUAAUUUGCCUCGGGCCAUUUCUCUUUUCACACUUCUAUGGCUGUCGUCUGGAUGUCCCUGAAAGCCUCAUGGUGGGGUGCUUUUCAGAGGUGGCUGACUCUAGAGAAUGUGAUUGAUUCCUGGUCCAGUGCUGGGGUUAAGGGUAUACUCACGCAUCUUACAGUCAAUAGCCUGCAUCAACAUAAGGGACAAAAGGAGAUUUGCCUUUCUCUAGCUUUCUUGUUGCUCUUGCUGUCUUCCACCACCAUGAAUGGUUGCCCCUGUGCCAUGUGCCACCCUGCCUUGGAGCCAGCCAAUUACGGAAUGAAACCUCUACAAACUGUGAGCUAAAGAAACAUUUUUCCCCCUUAAUUCUGCGUGUUAAGUAUUUUGUCUGAGCAAUGAGAAAAGUACCUAAGACACCAACACAGACUCGGGAUUUUUGCUCAAGUGAUUUUUGCUUCGAAUGACCUCUGUACUUGGGAGGCCGAGACAGGAGGAUCACCAUGAGUCUGAGGCUACGCUCAGCUACAUAGUGAGUUCAAGGCCAGGAUGGCCUACAUAGUGAAAGCCUGUCACAACACAAAAACAAAAACAACAACAAAAAAUGACUUUUGGAGAAGGAACAGUGUGCCCUUGAACUCAUCGCAGACCAACACUUUCCUAUAAUGCAGUAAUGAAAUGAAUUCCUAGAAAAAUGAUCAGGCGCUCAGAAGAUGCGGCGAUAUCGAAUUGUUGUAGAAGUGGGCACAUCUGAGAAUUUACUCCAGUUCUAUCCUUAGCUCACAGCGUCCUAACACAGCACCCAGAGGAGUGUGCGCUCCUCCACGGGGCUGGGGUGUAAGGAUGUAAAAGUACCCGGUUGCCAAGCAAUGAAAGGAAUCUCUUGUCCAGAUUCCAGCGGCUGAACUGUUACCCUCCCCAGCUCAUCUUGGCCUUAAGGACUCGUGAGAGUCUCUCGCAUUGUGUUUCUGGAUUUGUGAUUUAGGGAGAGGCCUCCGGCCUUGCAUAGAAGUGAGUUGACUCCCUCCCUGAACCAAAAGGUUAAGAUCCAGGCUCCUUUUACAAUGUCCCAGCUCAGCAGGAAUGUUUGCAGGCCCAGCUGUUUCUGUUCAUGCAUUCAUUAAUAAAAGUAGUGAAUGCAGCAAAA